UAAAAGCAAUCAUUUUUAGUACCGCCUGCUCAAUGAACUUUAAAUAGCCGCAGAAAUCCUGUGCUAAGGUAGCAUAAUCAUUUGCCUAAUAAUUAUAGGAUAGAAUGAAAGGUAAAACAUGUUUCUUUCUUUAUUUUUAAGACUUAUUUAACUUAAGCUUUAAGUAAAAACACUUAAAUACUUAGGGGGACGACAAGACCCUGUCGAACUUUACAUUAAUGUUUAGCUGGGAUGGCAAAAAAUUACACCUUUUUCCCCACUCUAUUUAAACAACCCUUUAAAGGAAUUAACCAAGUUACCGCAGGGAUAACAGCAUAAUCUUUUUCCAAAGCCCUUAUCCAAAAAAAGGAUUGUGACCUCGAUGUUGAAUUAAAAUUCUUUUAGAAGCAGAAUUCUAAAAAGAAAGUCUGUUCGACUUUUAAAUAUUU
rnacentral:rRNA from 1 species